rnacentral:rRNA from 1 species
GAUGAACGCUGACAGAAUGCUUAACACAUGCAAGUCGAUGGGGAAGUGGUGCUUGCACCAUGGCAACCAUGGCGGACGGGUGAGUAACGCGUAAGGGACUUACCUGCAGGACUGGGAUAACAGGGGGAAACUCCUGACAAGACCGGAUAAUGUCAUGGAGCUGCAUGGCUUUAUGAUGAAAGGAGACGCCUGCGGAGAGCCUUGCGUCCUAUUAGCUAGUUGGUGAGGUAAUGGCUCGCCAAGGCGAAGAUAGGUAGCCGGCCUGAGAGGGUGGACGGCCACAAGGGGACUGAGAUACGGCCCUUACUCCUACGGGAGGCAGCAGUGGGGAAUAUUGGACAAUGGGGGCAACCCUGAUCCAGCAAUUCUGUGUGCACGAAGAAGGUUUUCGGAUUGUAAAGUGCUUUCAGCAGGGAAGAAGUAAGUGACGGUACCUGCAGAAGAAGCGACGGCUAAAUACGUG